ensembl:snRNA LOC120094019 U6atac minor spliceosomal RNA
GUGUUGUAUGAAAGGAGAGAAGGUUAGCACGCCCCUUGACAAGGGUGGAAGAGGCUCCUGGGCCUAACAACACACACAUGGAAAGGAGCCUAACUCUAGGUUUGAAAGACUUUGU